UACGUAGGGCGCAAGCGUUAUCCGGAAUUAUUGGGCGUAAAGAGCUCGUAGGCGGUUUGUCGCGUCUGCCGUGAAAGUCCGGGGCUCAACUCCGGAUCUGCGGUGGGUACGGGCAGACUAGAGUGCAGUAGGGGAGACUGGAAUUCCUGGUGUAGCGGUGAAAUGCGCAGAUAUCAGGAGGAACACCGGUGGCGAAGGCGGGUCUCUGGGCCGAUAUUGACGCUGAGGAGCGAAAGCGUGGGGAGCGAACAGG
rnacentral:rRNA from 1 species